rnacentral:rRNA from 1 species
GACGAACGCUGGCGGCGUGCUUAACACAUGCAAGUCGAACGAUGAAGCCGGAGCUUGCUCUGGUGAAUUAGUGGCGAACGGGUGAGUAACACGUGAGUAACCUGCCCUUGACUCUGGGAUAACUGCGGGAAACUGUAGCUAAUACCGGAUACGACCCUCGGAGGCAUCUCCUGGGGGUGGAAAGAAUUUCGGUCAAGGAUGGACUCGCGGCCUAUCAGCUAGUUGGGGAGGUAAAGGCUCACCAAGGCCACGACGGGUAGCCGGCCUGAGAGGGUAGCCGGGCACACGGGGCCUGUGGCACGGCCCAGACACCAACUGGAGGCGGCACGGGGGAAGAUUACACGAUGGGCGCAAGCCUGAUGCGCAAACGCGGCGUGAGGGAUGACGGCCUGCGGGUUGUAAUCCUCUUUUGGUAGGGAAGAAGCGAAAGUGACGGUACCUGCAGAAAAAGCACCGGCUAACUACGUGCCAGCAGCCGCCGUAA